GUGUGAUACCGAUUCUGUGGACAUUCCCGGCGCAGACUGCGAGCAGAGCAACCGUUAUCGUUGACGUCGUGCCAUCGUCUCUCACCGUCAUCUGGCCAUCAACGCUGGGUCCACUUGACUCCACUUCGUCUGUCAAGCUCGAGUGGAUCCGUCCGUGUCCACAACUCGGAUUCCUCGAAGAUAAUUACGCAAAGGCCGGGAGUUCGCCAGCGGCAGCAUCAACAACAGAACAAUAACGGUGGCUGCGGCGGCUAGACCGAGUGUAUAAUUCAUCAACUUUCAAUCGACCAAUCAAUCAAUCAAUCAAUCAACCCUCAAACUACUCGACCGACCCCCGCUAGAUCAAGAGCAAGCCGGCGGGAGGCUGCAGGUCGUUUCUGGGGGGUUAUAAAUCUACCUGGUGAACUACGACGACGACCGGCAAGUUGUCGGAACCAAACUGUAGUGGCCACGUGGUCCACUUUGCUGGGGAGUGCCGAGCCGACCGGCAGUUAUGAUGGAUGGGACUAGGCCGGGUUCUAAGAUCUUCAAGUUGCGACGACUCGUGUUACCCGUGGUGGAAGUCGCACCGUGUAAGGCUUAGCCGUGAAAAUAUUCUGCUGAUGCUGUGAGCGAAGGAAGACCACGUGGAGGGAGUGUUUGUUUAAAGUGAGGUGAUUUGGUUUGAAUAGAAUAGUUAUUUAUUAAUUUUUUCUUUGGUUUCAAAGUUGGAGCAGCGAACUGAGAGAGAAAAAGAGAAGUUAAGUGAUCGUUUUACUCAAGUGAAAGAGGUUGUAGUGUGGUUGUUAUUGUAGUAGUAGCACGUGUCAUCGUCGUCAAAAUGUAUUGCCUUUGCCGAUCAUCGAAGACCAUCGCGGUGCGGAUCGUGCUCCUGGAUGAGACCGAUUUUAUGCAUGAGUUACAGGUAAUUUCCAACUGCACAGUUUACGACUCACUGAGCCCUCCGAGCACAAGGUGUAAAGGUAGGCAUUCUAUAAAAAAAAAAUACCAGUUAUUAGCACCUUAAUUGUCUGCGACAUUAAACUGCAAGCACUUCAUUCUUCCGAACCGAAACUCACUGAACCGGAAUGGUUUCGUGCAAGUGCAGUAAAACGUGCAAGAUUUACAGCCCAAAUUGACGUGAUAUUUUAAUCACCAAUGACAACCAUUUUCUCACCACACGACGGGCGGCCGUUUGUCGGCAUUGCAGUCGGUAGCCCAGGUUAGUGCCAAUAUAGAGCUGACACCUUGAUUGGUGAUACACGCCACGUUUGGUCCUUUCGCGUUGCAUGGCGGGGCGGUGGAUGUUGGUACAAGCUCACUAAACCAGUAGCCGGGGCCAGAUUGGAUCGCGCGAGGUAAUUUGUUUACGCCAAGCCGUUGGAAGCGCAAUUUUCGCAAGAUUCAAAGGGGUGGAGGCUGCCAAGAUACAAACAGAGCAGAUAAUAAUUGCCGAUUAAAGCGAUUUGAUUUUACUUAAUAUUGGCAAUUACCGCUUAUAAUUACGACACAAACACUGGCCAGGGCCUUUGUCCUAGCUGGCAGAGGUUGGCUUCCGUUUUGUUCCGUUGGAGGACGUCGUUUUGCAUACUUACUGUGGGGGAUAAUCUCUUGCAA